rnacentral:rRNA from 1 species
UACGUAGGGUGCGAGCGUUGUCCGGAAUUACUGGGCGUAAAGAGCUCGUAGGUGGUUUGUCGCGUUGUUUCGUGAAAUGCCACAGCUUAACUGUGGGCGUGCGGGCGAUACGGGCAGACUGGAGUACUGCAGGGGAGACUGGAAUUCCUGGGGUAGCGGUGGAAUGCGCAGAUAUCAGGAGGAACACCGGUGGCGAAGGCGGGUCUCUGGCAGUAACUGACGCUGAGGAGCGAA